rnacentral:lncRNA from 14 species
GUCUUUCUGUGUCCAGGUUCGGCUCCUGGUUUGCUGUGGAGCAGCGGAGGUGACGGGGGGGCAGUGCCAGCUCCUGGAUACCCUGGGGUCGUGGGCUUGGCGGGGAUACUGCUGUUACCGACCCGGCUGGGGACGUGUCGGCAGGGCCGUGUCGGCGGGUCUGGGUGAGCCCUCCUUGGAGCCAGGGGGCAGUGGGUGGGAGCGCCGCUGAGGGACCGGCUGCCGCUGAGGUACUACCGGCUGCUGCUGAGGUACAGGCGCUGAGGACUGGCUGCUGAGGUACCGGCUGUCUCUGAGGUACAGACGCUGGGGACUGGCCGCUGAAGUACCGGCUGGCGGGGAAGGUGGGAGCAGCGAGAGGUGUACGCGGCUGGAGAGCGGUGCUCUGUGGUGGCCGGCCUCUCUGUGAAACCUGCAGGAAGGCGAAAGGGAGGGUGCCGUUGACCGAAGGCUUAAGGAUGUAAUGGUGUCCUCUUGAUAAAAGAUGUUCCAAGGCGCUUCUAGAUGAAGCCGACUUAAUUCACUCAACUAAUGCUUCCCUUGUGUCUCCAGUUGGUUGCUGAAAAGUACCGUGUAAGAGGGAGCUGGAUUCAUAUUGGUAUUGUUUUCUCAUUGUAUGCAGUGAACCAGUUUUGCAGGAUGAAUGCUGUGACUGAAGAAGUUAAGCCAGAAGAUCACAAACUGGAAUCUGAGAAAAAGAUAUUUUACAGUGAAGUUUGUAAAGUUCCAUGUAUGAGUUCUAUAAGUCUUCAGUCACACUAUCGUGGUGCAAAGCAUAGAAAGAAAGAGAAAGCCUUGAGACCCAACACUGUCUAUUGUUGUUUGCCCUGGAUAGUUUGCCCUUUGGGUCCUUCCGCUGUGUCCUCUGGUUUCUUCAUAUCCCACUUGAACUGGAGAAGGAGCUUCACAAGUCCCAAAUAAUGGUGGAUUGGCUAUUCUGAUGUACACUGCCUGUGCAGUAUCAAUAUAGGGUUUAUGGGAUACUGUACAGUAUCAAUAUAGCCUAGUUUAUGGGAGACUCACCUUUGGACAAUAUUCAGCUUGUUGCUCAUAAUUCUGAGGUUCUUUUUGACAGUGUAGCUGCUUAGGCAGGCAGAUCCUAGCCUGUGCUCAUGAGUGUGGUUAUUUCAGCUGUGGAACUAUGCUUCUUAUUAUGUUUCUUAAAGUUUCUUUAAUCCUUAAUGUUCCCUGCUCAACUGAAACUGUUACAUUGGUUGUAUCCCCUAAAUUUCUACUGUCUGUGAAUUCACCAAAGUUGUUCCAUGCAUCCUCAAGCAGGUUACUGAUGAUGAUGUUAAUUGUUCUGGGCCCUGGAGUCAGUCUUUGGGGUACUCUGCUGUUUACUGAACACCAAGAGGCUGGGUUAAUUGAUUGUUGCUCUUUGAGUGCAGCAGUACAGCUGAUUUUUCAGCUCCUGUGUCACUGUGAUUGGCUUUAAGGGAAUAAUACUGUUGUAUUUUGGUUUUGAGAUGCUUUAGAAAUACCUUGCAUUAUUAAUAGCAUUACAAAGCCAUGUGGCUAGUAAGCAUGUAUUAAAUGUUAGCCUUGAAACCUACUAUUGCUGAAAAGAGUGUCUUCAAGGUCAUAGAUACUUGGUUAAACUUUUGCAGUCAGCAAUGAUAAUAUUUAUUAAAUGCUUUUUAAGUAUUUUUUUAAGAUUGAAAAUACCCUAAAUCCCCAAACUUCUACUUUUGGUAAUGGUAGCAGCUACAACUUGAUUUUUAGCUUCACCAUGUUUGUACACCUCAACCGUAUUAAGGCAGACUGCAUUCCGAACUGCUUCUGUUGCAACUCUCUGCAAACUGAAUUUACUCCUAGAAGUAAACAGAAAACAAAGUGCUAAAAAUCUUAUUUCACAGGUACUUUCAUGUAAUUCAUGUAAUUCAGUAUGGCCGUGUUGUCAGUCUGCAGGUGCCAGACCUGGAAUCUAACUUGGUCUUCAGGCACUAAGUGAACAGCUCUGGAAUUAAAUAAUUUUUGAACUUGCAGAGUAACUGGAGAUCUUCUUUUGUUCUUGCCACCAGGGACUUUGAAGCUUUUUACCGAAAAAUAUGGAUAAUUUAUUAUAAGAACUUCAUUUUCCGUAGUCAGGGAAACUUUCUUCAUUUCAAAAAUAGGAAUUACAUGGGCAAAUGUAUGGUUAAACCUUCACUUUCUAGUAAAUGAGUAAUGGUGUGUUAUCUUGUUUUAAUAUUGAAUGCUGCAAUUUAACAAAAUAUUGACAUCACUAAAACACGCUUGUGGUUUGUCUGUCUCUAUGGAUUUGAGGGAAGAGAGGAGCAAGGGAAAGGUGUUCCGAAGCAAUGGAUGUGAAGUACCUUUACAAAAGCAUAUCUGAAAAUUCACUCUGAAGCUCUGAGUGAUUAAAAACCCUAAAGAAAAUGCAUUUUAAUGACUUUUGAAUUGUCUGGGGGGCUGUGUGUGUGGCUCUAAAUGUUUAGACCAGAAGUUUUCUGUCAGAUGUCUCUGACAGAUCAACUGUCAUGGACAAUACUGAAUAGUUAAAAUAAUAUAACCAAGUAGUAUGAAAAGUGCUUAAAAAUAAAAAUAUUGCAUAUUCUGUGCUUGUGUGAUAU